rnacentral:rRNA from 1 species
GACGAACGCUGGCGGCGUGCCUAAUACAUGCAAGUCGAGCGCAGGAAGCCGUCUGCCCCCUUCGGGGGGACGACGGUGGAAUGAGCGGCGGACGGGUGAGUAACACGUAAAGAACCUGCCCAUAGGUCUGGGAUAACCACGAGAAAUCGGGGCUAAUACCGGAUGUGUCAUCGGACCGCAUGGUCCGCUGAUGCAAGGCCCUCCGGCGUCGCCCAUGGAUCGCUUCGCGGUGCAUUAGCUAGUUGGUGGGGUAACGGCCCACCAAGGCGACGAUGCAUAGCCGACCUGAGAGGGUGAUCGGCCACACUGGGACUGAGACACGGCCCAGACUCCUACGGGAGGCAGCAGUAGGGAAUCUUCCACAAUGGACGAAAGUCUGAUGGAGCAACGCCGCGUGAACGAUGAAGGCUUUCGGGUCGUAAAGUUCUGUUGUGAGGGAAGAACAAGUGCCGCAGGCAAUGGCGGCACCUUGACGGUACCUUGCGAGAAAGCCACGGCUAACUACGUGCCAGCCGCCGCAGUAA